rnacentral:rRNA from 1 species
CCGAUGAGGUGGAAACGGACAGAGCUGGCGUAUCUGGCCUGCAUUCAGCCGCUGCGCGACGGGCCCCGGUUUGCCGCACUCCAGAUUGGGAAGGUGGCUGGGCUGCUGGCGUGCUGGUGGUGCAUUUGCAGGUGGAGUGCGCUGUGGCGCUCGGCUCGGCGGCAUGAGCUCGGCUUUGAGGCCAACCGCGCAAGCGGUCUGGUACCCGGGUCGGGGGAGUGUUGUUCGGGCUGAGUGUUCGCUUGGGCACUGGCAUCGGGCUCGGGUGGGUGCCGAGCUGGCGGUCGACGGCGGUCGCAUGCGACACGUGUCAGCAGUCAGUUCGGUCCUGCUCGAGCUCUCAUGUGUCCGGCCUCGGUGUAAAAGCCGGUCAUCUGUCCGACCCGUCUUGAAACACGGACCAAGGAGUUUAGCGUGUGCGCGAGUCAUUGGGCGUUGAAAACCCAAAGGCGCAAUGAAAGUGAAGGUCUGCCUUGUGCAGCUGAUGUGUGAUCCUGGGCGCUGCGGUGCCCGGGCGCAACAUAGUCCCGUCCCGACUGCAUGCAGUGGGGCGGAGACAGAGCGUACGCGCUGAG